rnacentral:rRNA from 1 species
GCCCAAACGUAACACGACAUAUGUCCGCCAAAUAACUACGAGUGAAAACUUAAAAUUUAAAGGACUUGACGGUAUUUCACACUCAACCUAGAGGAGCCUGUCUACUAACCGAUGAUCCACGAUUAACCCAACCACUCCUGGCCCCCAGCCUAUAUACCACCGUCGCCAGCCUACCUUGCAAAAGACCCACAGUAAGCUAAAUAGCCCACACUAAGACGACAGGUCAAGGUGUAGCUAAUGGAGUGGGCCAAGAUGGGCUACAUUUUCUAACCUAGACCAGACGAACCAGAUUAUGAAAUAAACCUUCGAAGGCGGAUUUAGCAGUAAGUCAAGAACAUAAUACUUAACUGAAGCCAAUGCAAUGAAAUGCGU